rnacentral:misc_RNA from 1 species
GGCAAAUCCAUACAACACUGGUUUAUUGAUACUUCUGAAACCAUACACAAGCAUGGGGACAUAAGCAUUAAGUUAGAAUUUCUGCCAAUCCUAUUUUUUCUCCUUGCAUCUUUUUGAAACCCAACCCAAACAACCUGCUCAACAAGUCACAAAAACAAAAAAUUGAAGAGCUAGAACUGAUGCUGGUUUUGUAUGCAAUUCCUCUUGAGUUAAUGAAAAUAUUAAGUUGUAGAAGACUGACUGCAAGUUGAAGUUUCUCCACAUCCAGGGAAAGUGCACAGGAUUUUUCUAAUCAAAGAUUCCGUUGAAUUUCUUUGCCAUUGAUAUAAAUAUUUGGGAUGUGAGCAACCUUGGGCCAAUCCUCCCCAACAUUCUUUUCACAUUUUGCUGCUAGUUGGGGACAACUCCAUAUGCGCAAAAUUUGUAAUGCGGUAAGGUUGUCCAUCCCCUCUGCUAAAGACAUCAAAUUAGGACAAUCAUAGAUCUCAAGACAAUGCAGAGUGGUAGCAUACUGAAGUCCCUUUGGGAGAGACACCAAGCUUCGAUUAUCAUCUAAUGCUAGAGAACGGAGGUUUUGAAGGCCUUGCCAUUGCAUUCCUUUAUCAUUCUCAUCACGUGACAGAGUUGUUAUUUUU